rnacentral:rRNA from 1 species
UACGUAGGGACCAAGCGUUGUCCGGAAUCAUUGGGCGUAAAGAGCGUGUAGGCGGCUUGUUAAGUCUUGCGUGAAAUCUCGGGGCUCAACCCCGAGCGGUCGUGAGAAACUGGCAGGCUAGAGUGCGGGAGAGGAGAGUGGAAUUCCUGGUGUAGCGGUGAAAUGCGCAGAUAUCAGGAAGAACACCCGUGGCGAAGGCGGCUCUCUGGAACGCAACUGACGCUGAGACGCAAAAGCGUGGGGGAGCAAACAGG